GAUGAACGCUAGCGGCAGGCUUAACACAUGCAAGUCGAGGGGUAUAGUUCUUCGGAACUAGAGACCGGCGCACGGGUGCGUAACGCGUAUGCAAUCUACUUUUUACAGAGGGAUAGCCCAGAGAAAUUUGGAUUAAUACCUCAUAGUAUGUGAGAAUCGCAUGGUUUUCACAUUAAAGUUCCAACGGUAAAAGAUGAGCAUGCGUCCCAUUAGCUAGAUGGUAAGGUAACGGCUUACCAUGGCGACGAUGGGUAGGGGUCCUGAGAGGGAGAUCCCCCACACUGGUACUGAGACACGGACCAGACUCCUACGGGAGGCAGCAGUGAGGAAUAUUGGACAAUGGGCGCAAGCCUGAUCCAGCCAUGCCGCGUGCAGGAUGACGGUCCUAUGGAUUGUAAACUGCUUUUGUACAGGAAGAAACAGUUCUACGUGUAGAACCUUGACGGUACUGUAAGAAUAAGGAUCGGCUAACUCCGUGCCAGCAGCCG
rnacentral:rRNA from 1 species